rnacentral:rRNA from 1 species
UGGCGGACGGGUGAGUAACGCGUGGAAAACCUGCCGUAUACUGGGGGAUAACACUUAGAAAUAGGUGCUAAUACCGCAUAAGCGCACAGCUUCGCAUGAAGUGGUGUGAAAAACUCCGGUGGUAUACGAUGGUUCCGCGUCUGAUUAGCUUGUUGGUGGGGUAAUGGCUCACCAAGGCGACGAUCAGUAGCCGGCCUGAGAGGGUGAACGGCCACAUUGGGGCUGAGACACGGCCCAAACUCCUACGGAAGGCAGCAG